UACGUAGGCAGCGAGCGUUGUUCGGAGUUACUGGGCGUAAAGGGUGUGUAGGCGGUUUUCUAAGUUUGGUGUGAAAUCUCCCGGCUCAACCGGGAGGGUGCGCCGAAAACUGGGAGACUAGAGUGCAGGAUGGGAGAGUAGAAUUCCUGGUGUAGCGGUGAAAUGCGUAGAUAUCAGGAGGAAUACCGGUGGUGUAGACGGCUCUCUGGACCGCCACUGACGCUGAGACACGAAAGCGUGGGUAGCAAACAGG
rnacentral:rRNA from 1 species